AUGUUUGAUGGGCUCAGAACAAACAUGUUGCUCUGCUUUCAAAAACCGGAGUUGAAAAGCUAUAUUUGGGCAAAUUUCAAAACAACACAUUCUUUUUUUUUUUUUUCCCCUCCCACAGCAUUUCUCCCGUAUGCUAUUUUUUUUCUCCACCUUGCAGUGACUAUUAAACAAACCCAAGGCACAUUUAGCUCGUCUCCUUGUAUCUGUUUUGGCCAACUAGGCUGGCACCUAAAUUACCGGGCACAGCUCUGGGUACGAGCUGGGACCAGGCCUUCAGCACAUCGAUGCCUUCGCUUUCCCACCUGCAAAAUGGGAACAAACGCGUUUUGGUCGGGCAGACGCAUCUAUAGCUGCUCCCCAGCUCUCUGCAGGGCUCAGCGGGGCACCGGGCUGUUUCGCCUGGUUUCCAAGACAAAUGAAAAGAUGUAUAAAUACGUACUUAGCUGGCAGAGCUUCUCGGGAAUAUCUGGGGAUGUGCGGCCUUGCUUGGUUGUUUUUAACAAGCAGGGGAUCAGAAGUGUACGUUCGCAUCUGACAGGCAGCACCAGCUCUGAAAGGAGGCAUUAUGGUCUGCCGGGCACAUUUAAGCGCGGUUUCGGUGCCACCACAGAAAUAACCCAUCCUGCCGGCCUGCCCGAGGGGCUCCUGCUCCCCAAAACCCAGGCGAGCAAAGCAGCGAGCGGGGACGCCCGAGGAGAGAAACCCCCCAGCACGGGGGCAUGGGAACGGGCACCACGGGUGAAGAUGGCAGAAUGGGGCCAGACGGACAGGGUACUAAUUCCCGUCACGAAUCAUUACCACAAGCACUGGAUGAGGCACCUCCAAAGGAGCAAGGAGCCUCCAAAGGAGCAAGGAGCAGCGGCACGGCGAGGCCAAGAACCCACGGCAGAUCCCAGCCCCGCGCCCAUCACCUCGCACAGCCAGCAAGGAGCUGCUCAUGUCCCCAGACCAUCGCCACGUCCCCGUCUGAGCACCUUUCACACCUCCCCACAACCCCAAUGA
rnacentral:lncRNA from 1 species